rnacentral:lncRNA from 1 species
UGCUAACAUCUUACUGAACUUCGGUCUCUUCUGCGUGAUCGCGAUCGAGAUGUCGUUCGGGAACAGGUUGCCAAGUACGAAUGCAUGGAUGAUCGUCGUCACGAGCAGUGCUGUCACGGUGAAGGUGGAGAUGGCGGAGAGUCCGAUAGAGAGCGCGUGCGUAAACACAUUCGCGACUUCCUCGGAGUAUCUUAUUGUUGCGACCGCGGCACCGGUCAUCGGAAAUGUGUAUGCCCACCAAGCAAGUGAGAACCUGUUGAACACAGAGAGAAAGAGAUCAGACAUGAGGAGUCCUCUUUACGAAAGUAGCAAUUCAAAAUGCGUAAAUCUUCGGAAAGAAUCGAGAUAACUACCUGAAGCCUCGAAAGAAGUUUAUCCGCACGGCCUGCGAAGAGAGGAGACAUUCGACGAAUUAGAUACAAAUCUUUCGAGGAUUGGUAGAACUCACAAAACUUGUUCUUUGUUUUUUUUUUCAUUCCAAUUUUCGAACAUGUAACUUGAUCAAGGUUGAAGAGAGGAUCUCACCAGUGACAUGUAGAGGAACAAAGCAAUGUAGUACGCGAUUCGCGCCCCGUAAUCGAAGUCUCCUUGGAUCUUCGCCCAAGCCAUGGAAGCGACGCUCGGCGGCGCCACGAAUAGGAAGAAAACCGGAUGGAGCUCCUUUGGAAGAGUGAGAUUUGUAGGGAGCCUCUGAUAAAGAGUUACAAACAGUACAAUGUAGUGAGCCAAUCCGACCGCGAAGAAGAAGAUCGGCCCUUCUUUGAGCCCCAUCGAUGCGCCCAACAACGCGCCGACAAAGUUGCCUAUGAUCGCUAAGUGGUUCGUCGGAUUCGCCACCUUCGAGAGCCUCCUUUGGCCGCCGGACAUCCACUGGCCAUAAAUUUUCAGUUCCAGGCAAAAGAUUGGAGCCAUGAGGACAUACCUGUCGAGCAUAGAAAAAUAUUAAAACAUCGUUCUCUGGCUAGCAGCUUAAGCUUUUAGAGAAAAAAAACGGUUGUUGUAGCGGUACCAGAGAGGGGCUGGAAGGUUGACAGCAACGGAUGGCGGAACUCCCAUGGCUAAGAAGAGGCAGGCGAUCCAGGGGGCGAAGAAGAAGUUGACGCGGACGGGGUGGUAGUACUCCCGCCGGACCGCUUCGUAGUAGAAGAUGACUUUCAAGGAGUAGAUGAGGGAGAUGAGUCCCAUCAGUGCAAGGGAGAUGAACCACAGGACUAGAUUCGCGGCCGGGCUCACGCGGAGGAAGGUCAUGGAGGGGGAUGUUGCCAGUGUUUUCCACAGAAUGGCCUGGCUGCUGACCCCGAGGCAGAUUCCGAAAGCGUUUACCGGGAAUCGCAGAAGGAAGGGCCACUUCUUGUCCUCUGGCAGAACAGACACUUCUGUUGCCUGCAGUGCAGAUCAAUCAAGAUGCAUUCUGCUGUCAGUACAAGCAUGCCAACCAGAACAAACAUACUCUAUCAUUUCAGAAAAGAUGCCGUUUUCGCAUCAUCUUUAGUAAUUGAAAUCGAGAUCAAACUUCAGUAACUCAAUUUGUAACCGUUGGCGGAGAUCGUCUUACCCUUAAAGUGUCCAAUUCAGGCCCUUCCAAGGCAUCGAAAUAGCGUUCCACGGCCGGAACAGCGUCGGUCUGGGCAGCACCAUGAGAGGAAUUGGCCUCCAAAUCCUCUUCUUCUUCUACCUCUUGGGGCUUCCCGCGCAAAUUCGACAGCUGCCUCUCGAGCCUCCCCGACCACGUCUUAAAAGGAUCGAAUCGUUUGUCCCGCACACUGUCACUCCUCGGCACUCUUCUCGGGCCCUCGAUCACAGGCAUAGGCUGAGAAUGAUACUUCCCUUGUUCAGGCGGUUGAGAGCUCACGCCGUUAGCAGCAUUUGCCUUGUCUUUAUCGGUGUAAAUGACCGUCUUGGUUUGCCCGAUGUGAAGCCCCGAGGGAGAGCUCGGCAAGCUAAAAGACAGAGAGAACGGACGGCUAUGAUUGGCCAUUUGAAUCGGCGAGCUUAGCUCGGGCAAGUUGAUUACUAUGUCCUGUCCACGAGUAUCAGCAACUUCUGUUCCCUGCAACGAAACAUUUGUAAACAAACUUGGAACCCAAAAGGAAGUAUAACCAUUCUAUACGAGCGCGAUACCGAAUAGCAAGUAGAAAUUUGUGCAAUAAGCGUAGACGAACGCCACUUUGUAAAACUAUUCGAUGAUUUAUCAGUAAUUUCACCUGUAACUUCCCUGCUAUCCAACAUGUGAAACGAAAAGCAAUUUUAAACAAGUUUAAUUUUGACAAGGAAAGUAAAUGAAAACAUUUUUGCUGUUAACUAUUGCACUUGAUGAAUCUGUUGACACCUCAUCAGUUCAUUUGCAAAGCAAAAUUUUUGCGACGACGACAUAGAUGAUAAAGAACUUUUAAAGAGAACACUAAUUUCACCUAGAAUAUCAAGAAAGCGAAAUAUAUGUACACAAAAAAAAUAUAUAUAUACAUAUAACUUACUGGCUCAUGAACAAGUGUCUCUUCUUGAGAAGUGUAAUUGGUAGCUGUUUGAGAUUGAUCAUUUUUGCCAUUUGCAUAACCAACACAAUCAAAUCCAGCAACAGUUUGAGAUGAAACAAGUUUCAAAACAGGGGGGAGUGCUUCUUCAAAGCACUCCUUGGUCCCAAGCUCAACUUGGAGAUCCUUCUUUUCCAUCCUAUAGAUCACAAAACACCUGCAAAAACCAAACAGCAUACAUAUAUAUAAACAUAAACAUGCCCAUAAUUAGAAUUCAACACACCAAACCAAACUACAAAUUUUUCCGACAAGCAACUGCACAGAAACCACGUAACAAACUACCUCAAAUGGGUGAGUAGUAGCGUCGACAAAGAAGCGCUUGUAUCCUCAAAACUUGGGCUCUUUGUAUGAAGAGUAAGUACAACAAGAAGCCCCUGUAAUGAUGCUUGAAGUAAUCAAAAAUGAGGAGGAGAAAGAGAAGAGGAACACAUUAAGCUCUGAGUAGUGUGACAAAGACUCAAAGAGGGUGGUGGGCCUGGCGCUGAGACGUAUCGAGAAGCUUCAGUGCACAGCAUUACAUGCCAAUGCAUCGUUUUCGCUGAGCUUCCGCCAUAAGCGCUGUUCCUUAACAACAUGUAACUCUCAUUCUUCCGUAUAUAAAGAGGAAACAGGGAGGGAAACUUGCAUGAUUAUACCUCAUCUACUCCGAUAUUGCAUGCUGUGUACUUUUUUUUUAAGUAUAAUUAUUUUAUCACUUCUAAACUAACUGUUUCUAUACUUAAUUUGGUAUUGAGGUCUAUCUUAUCUAACGCUAUUAGAUAGAAUGGAGUUGAGAAAAAGCAUAUAGAGACAUGCUUCUGCGUUUUCUGAUGGGACCGUAGAAAAUAUAUCGUAACUAACUAACCGCAAUAUGCGGAACGCAAUAUUAUGUAUCGAAAUAAACAUGGUAUUUUUUAAUCGUCGUUUCUCACCGCACGUAAUGCAAUCUCCUCGCAAUCCCAAACGAAACCUUAGUGUAAGUGACAAAGGAUUUAAUAGUUCAAUUUUUGAAAUCUAGUUGCUUUACUUUUUUCAGGCAAAUUUAUUUCUGAAAAUGAACGAAACAGCUAGGAUACUAUUUUUCAAUCUAAGAUGUACGAAAGCUCAGAAACUAAACUAUUUAAGUGAGAAAAUACAGUAGCCAAGUCGCAAUAUAAGGAUAGUACGAGGACGAACAAUACACUUUACCCAAAUAUAAUAUGAAAUGGGGGUCUUGGACUGUGUGGACUAUUCUACAGUGGGAAUGGGAAUUUGAGGGAAUAUGAGGUCAAAGAAGGAGAAAAAGAAAAAGAAAAGAAAAGAAAAAAGGGAGUAAGAAAGAAGCUUGGAGUUUCCUAACGGGUCCUAUUUUGGAUGUACACUAGUAUUUGAAUUUUAUUUAUUUACAUCUAAUAAGUAUCACUUUAUGGAUGGACUAGGAAUUGUAAAGGGUGGCUAUCAAACCAAGCAUGGGGGAGAAAAAGAGUCAUGGCACAAACACGAGUUAUUGACCUCACUCAUGCUCCAAAUGAAAUUUGGAGCAUGAGUUAUUGACCUCAUGCUCCAAAUUUCAUUAGUUCAAAAAAAAUGAAAAACCCAACGCAGUUCGGUCGCUUGAACACGUCAACAGAUUGAUAUGUGACUGGGGAUUACUCCAUUGACCAACUCCCUCCCUACUUAUGCCUCUUUUUUCUUCUUUCUUUUUUUUUCUUUUUUUUUUUUACAUAUAUUUCUGUUUUCUUCUUUUUUCGCCUUCGGAGGCCGUAGUUGCUUCCAUCCUGUACGCUUAAUUCAUCUUGCUUUAUGAAUGAAGCAGGUAGCUUUCUNCUGGUGGCGCUGAGACGUAUCGAGAAGCUUCAGUGCACAGCAUUACAUGCCAAUGCAUCGUUUUCGCUGAGGUUCCGCCAUAAGCGCUGUUCCUCAACAAGAUGUAACUCUCAUUCUUCCGUAUAUGAAGAGGAAACAUGGAGGGAAACUUGCAUGAUUACACCUCAUCUACUCCGAUAUUGCAUGCUGUGUACCUUUUUUUUAAGUAUAAUUAUUUUAUCACUUCUAAACUAACUGUUUCUAUGCUUAGCUUGGUAUCGAGCUCUAUCUUAUCUAAUGCUAUUAGAUAGAAUGGAGUUGAGAAAAAGUAUAUAGGGACAUGCUUCUGUAUUCUCCGAUAGGACCGCAGAAAAUAUAUCGUAAUCGACUAACUGCAAUAUGCGAAACACAAUAUUACGUAUGAAAAUAAAUAUGGUAUUUUUUCAUCGUCGUUUCUCACCGCACGUAACGCAAUCUUCCCGCCAUCUAAAAUGAAGCCCUAGUGUAAGUGGCAAAGGAUUUGAUGGUUGGUGUCUGAGAUUUUAAUUUUGAAAUCUUGUUGCUUUACUUUUUUCAGGCAAAUUUAUUUAUGAAAAUGAACGAAACAGCUAGGAUACUAUUUUUCAAUCUAAGAUGUACGGAAGCUCAGAAACUAAACUAUUUAAGUGAGAAAAUACAGUAGGCAAGUCGCAAUAUAAGGAUAGUACGAGGACGAACAAUACACUUUACCCAAAUAUAUAAUAUGAAAUGGGGGUCUUGGACUGUGUGGACUAUUCUACAGUGGGAAUGGGAAUUUGAGGGAAUGUGAGGUCAAAGAAGGAGAAAAAGAAGGGAAAACUGCUGCAUAAGUGUGCAUGCCUCAGCAGAGCAGUAUCGCAAGAGAGGGGCUGCCAGAACCCGCAGCAGCAACACCCUCUGCGUGCGGGCCGCCACAGCACCAACAGCAGCACCCAUAGAAGAAUAACUAAGACCUCCGCGCCCCCAGCGUCGAAUCCCACAGUCGCGUCGUGGUAAGAAUGUUCCGGCCCAAGACAUCAUGUGUCCUAGAGUGGUUGUCAAAUAUCCGCUUGUUCCGUUCAUUCCAGAGAUCCCAGCAACAUGCCGAGAAGACGAGGUCGAAAAAAGCUUUAUUACGCCCAAAGAGUGUCCUUCUAGCUUUGCUCCAGCGGUCCCCCAGCUCCCAAACCGAGUCGUCCAUCAAGAUUAGAUCACCGAUGGAGGGACCUAGCAACCAGAUCCAGAGGGAAGAGGCAAAAGGACAUCGAAAAAGUAGAUGUUGUAGUGACUCGGCAUCGGAGUUGCACAAAACACAGAUGGAGGGACCAUGCCAACCUCUAUUCGCUAAUAAGUCCACUGUGAGCAGUUUGUUACGCGCAGCAAGCUACAAAAAAACUUUGAUCCUGAGAGGGAUCUUAAGUUUCCAGAGAAAAGGUAACUUAAAAGGUAACUUGUUUUGUUACCAUUACUGUGGUCUGUCUUUUUGUCCCCCUUUUGUUCUCUCGCUCCUCUCUGUUUCCCCGCUGUUCCCCUCUUCAAAUAGGGUAUAUCCCUGUUUAAUCAAAAAAAAAAAGAAGGAGAAAAAGAAAAAGAAAAGAAAAUAAAAAAGGGAGUAAGAAAGAAGCUUGGAGUUUCCUAACGGGUCCUAUUGUGGAUGUACACUAGUAUUUGAAUUUUAUUUAUUUACAUCUAAUAAGUAUCACUUUAUGGAUGGACUAGGAAUUGUAAAGGGUGGCUAUCAAACCAAGCAUGGGGGAGAAAAAGAGUCAUGGCACAAACACGAGUUAUUGACCUCAUGCUCCAAAUUUCAUUAGUUCAAAAAAAAUGAAAAACCCAAAAGCACUUUUACAAGUUGUUGGUUUGGCUAUAGCUUUUACAGAAGUACAUCACACGCAAUAAUUUAUUUAUUUAAUUUGAAAAAAAAAGAAGACACACUAUAGGUUUUAUUGGAGUUUUUUUAACUUCGGGGACAUGGAAUAACCGAAUAUUCAACAAUUUUAAGCAAUCAGAGUAUUUUUCGCUCGGGUUUGAAGCUCACUUUUUGCUUUCGCACAGAGCGGAUGAAACAACAAGUAUAAAGAAAAACAAGCCAAACAAACAAAGUUUAGAAAAAUAUUUCAACUUUUCGCUGCACUAAAAUUUUAAACUUUUUAUUUUAUAUUUGGUAUUCUCAUCAGUAAAAGAAAAUGUUAUUUUAAUGCUAGACUUCAUAGUUAACUUGUCCAAGUUGCAGACAAGUUAAAUUCACGUUUUUUUGUUUCUUUAUCAGUUUAAUUUUAGGUAAAAAAACAUGCUGAAUUUAUCUGAGCUAUGGAUUACAUGGAAUUGGUUAUCUAAUCUUUCAAAAUUUUAAUUUUGCAGUCAAUCUUUCAAUUUGUUUAAUUUGAGUCAAUUAACGGUACUUUGACUUUAAAUUUAAAUAUUUUCAUUCAUAUUUAGUUAGUAUAAUUUAUGUAAUUUGUACAACUAUUAUUUUUUGUUAAAGUAAAGUUUAAAUUUUGAGCCUAAGAACUAUUAACUAAUUCAAAUUAAACAAAUUGAGAGAUUAGAUACUAAAAUUAAAAUUUUAAAAAUUAAAUAAUCAAUUCAAAAUAAUUUGNAAAAAAAAAAAAGUCACAGCCCGGCCUUAGGGGGAUCGGAGGCGAGGAAGGUGGGGGGGCCGGCGGCGACGCCGCUCUGUCUUCGCCGCUCUAUGGGAAGAGAAAGAAAAAAAAGAACGAGAGAAAAAAAAAGAAAAGAAAAAGGUAUAAGGGCACCUCCGCUCCGUUUUUGCCGCUCUCUGGGAAGAAAAAGAAAAAAGAACGAGAGAAAAAAAAGGAGAGAGAAAGAGGAAAGAGAAAAAUGUAUAAGGGUAUUUUGGUCAGUUUGCUGAAAAAGCGGACCGAAUCUGCAAAAGCCAAAAAGAUGACCCGAUUUUGCAAAAGCCCAAAAUAAGUGAAUUUUUUAUGCAAAUUGGCCAAAUAAUUUAUUGUUCAGAUAAACUUUUUUUUUUUCUUAGCUUUAAAUUGACAUCUCGCACGCUGUUUAUUGAGCCUGAUGGUCGUUGUGUGGGGACGUUCUCCCCUAACGAAACACAACGAAUUUAAGUACUAUUUUUAGAAACGUGUGUUAUUACUACAAAAAUCGUGCAAAAAAUUAAUUGUACGGGCCAUGAUAAAUGGAUAGUUGUUGGAUUGAUGUGAUUGGACAGGUAAAAUUUGUACUACGGCUUAGUUUGGUAUUGAGACCUAUCUAACGCUAUUUGAUAAAAUGGAGUUGAGAAAAAAGCAUAUAGGGAUAUUUUCUGCGUUCUCCGAUGGGACCGCAGAAAAUAUAUUGUAACCGACUCAUCUCGAUAUGCGGAACGCAAUAUUACGUAUGGAAAAAAAAAUGGUAUUUUUCCAACGUACUUUCUCACCGCACGUAACGCAAUCUUUCUACAAUCCUAAGCCUACAUAAUUAUGAAAUGGCUGCGAACUUAGGAUUGAUUCUGAUAUUGUAUUAUUCAAAAUUAAUCUAAUAAAAAGUUAUUUAGAUCAAAACUUAAUUUUAAUUUACUGCUACAGGCAAAAUUUCAAAUUUUUUAUAACAUUUUUAGCAUAAUAUAUAAAAGUUAUUUCAGACGCUGAGAAAAACCGCCGCUUAGGUAAUAGAUAAACUCAAUUGUGCUUGAGAUCUUCAAGUUGCCCUCAUCAACUAAUACCAUUUUUAAUUGAGAGAAAUUGUUAAAUUGCGUUUGCAAGUCAUGUACAAAGUAUUAAUUUUUUGACAACCACAUUGGAAUACAAACAAAAAACAUGCUACAUUAAUAAAUGAAUCAAGUAAACAAAAGUCUACAUGUUAGUUUGAAUUUGGCAUGCAUAUUGUCACACCAAAAACGAUAGAUUUGACCAUUCCUUGGAACAUAAUAAAAAAUUGAAUUAAUAGUAAGCAGUCGCAGCACAAUACUAGGUAGAUCUGAUCUAAGUAACUCCAGUGUUUAAUUUACUUUAAAUAUUUGUCACCUGAAAUAAAUAUCGAUCAUGAUUCGAAAAUUUUUUAACUACUUUCGUUCGAGUGUAUGGUAGAGAUCGAUCGGGUGAAAAACAUUGUCAUGCGCACUAAUUAAAAAGAUUACGAAUGAGACAAUGCAAUCGCAGAAUGAAAAAUGAACGAAGAAUCUCGCAGCAUGCCUGUAGGGGGUUUAGGACUAAUUCUUAUAUAUAGUACAUGACCGGAAAAAUUGAUCUCUCGGAUUAGUAGGCUAGGACAUAAAUUAAGGCACGAAAUGGUUACGAGUCAUAAUUUCUACAUGCCAUUUCAAAUAUAUCAUUGCACACUCACCGGAACGAGAACAAAGUUACCAAAUCCGCAUAAUAAGUCAACAGCUAAUUAUAAAUUAAGUGCAGUAGAUAAAACCCCCACUAGAUACUGGAACUCCAGAAGAUGUAUUUUUGUUGUUUCUCAGGAGAAACGAACCAAUUGAAGUGAACAAGUCAAAAUUUGAUAGAUAUCAAUUUGAAAUACAUGCAAGGUUGAAUGGACCAAAUUAACUGCUUCUACAUACGAACCUCUAGUUUGAAUGUGAAGCAAAGAUCUCAAACGCAAUCACGGCGCCUCCUCAAGAUCGAAGCACUUGAAAUACAAGCCACAACACUAAACGUCAUUGAGGGGGCUUUUAUAAGCAAGGAAAAGGUGUUGUGAGUGACUCUAACUUUGAAACAAAGACAAAAAAAGGGAAAAAAAAAGGUACGAAUUAAUGAAGAUNAAAAAAAAAAAAAAAAAAAAGAUACGGAUUAAUUAAGAUUUAUAUUCAAAUUAGAAAUUUAUUAAAAAUAUUAUUGAUAAGCCAGCAAAGAUGGCAUGUGAUAAUAGCAGUUGAUUAAAAAGAAUUAAUUAUAUCAGAAUAAAAACUUAAGCUAAUAGAUGGGGGUAUAAACAAGGUAGAGCAUAUCUUAAGACCAGCUAAACCACCCUAUUUCCACGUAGCAUAUAUAAUUUGAGCGUAGUUGGAGGAAAUCGAACCAAUACAAAAUCGGACGAAACAAAAUGGGACUUGGCCCAAAAUGUGAAAUAAUUAGGCUUCGAACUUGAAAGUUUGAACAGUGUUUAAAUUAAAUAGGAGAAAAUUAAUAAUGCGAGAAGCCUGAUGUGAUUCGAACCAAGAACCUCCUAUUUUGAUAUUAUGUGAAAUAACCGCUGUACUUUAAAAGUUUAAGUUUAUAGAGAACGGUGUUUAAAUAUUUUUAUAUUUAAUAAGUAACUUAUAUUCUUAAUAUCAAUGUAACAAAUGAAGUUUAAGCUGAUGAUAUACUUUGAGUUGCAUAUAUCCUGAAUACACCUGUAGCAUCACUUGUUAGAAAAUUGCGUACGUUAAAGACGCAGCUGAAAAGAAAAUCAAACAAAUUUGAUUUUGAAAAACUUUCGAGAUCCAAUCUCAAAAAUCACACAAUUAGGAUCCCUCAUGUUCUUUAAGAUUAAAGGAGAAUAGCAAGAUCGAAUCUUUAUCUUUUUCGCAAAUAGAUCUUCACCUCUACUUAAUUAUUGUGGAAUUUGGUUCUUUUGAAGUCGCACACUCGUCCGGCCUCUAUAGGUAUCCACACGAGGUUCUUGAUUUGACCGAUAUCCUUACCGGAAUGCUAGCUCCCUUCCAAAAGGACGUUUUUUUGCUAGAAGAUGGAAAAGAGAGGAGAAGAGAGAUGACGGCUCGGAUUUUCUAAAAACUCCCGUAUAUCGUUAUAUAGAAGAAUAUAAUCCUCUAUUUAAUAAUAUAAUAACCUUUAAGGAUAAGUACAAAUCUAGAUUUAAAUUUAUCAUUUGCUUAAUUGGUUAGAUCGAUCAGAUCCUAAUUUGAUUUAAUUUGAACUUUAUAUUAAUUUGAUCAUAUCAAAUUAAUAAUACAAUAUUUGCACAUAAGCCCUCUUAUAAUUUACUAACUAUUAGUAAGUCCUCUCUAGUAACAUUUACACUUUAAUACCACUAAUUUAUAACAAUUAUAAAUUAGUCCAAUUAUCAACAUAUUGACAAUUAGGUCCUCCGACGAUGCAAAAAUCGCUAUCUAGCUAGCUAUCUGAUCAAUCACAAUCUCUUAUGUGUGUGACCCUAUAGAUUCUAUUCUAUCUGGUAGUUAGAUAUAUUUUGAUUACUAUCAACAAUAUCACUGAAACUCUUUUCAGUGGAUCGGAACAAUUCCAACUCAGCCCAAUGAGAAUUAUCGAUCAUCUAGAUAAUUCUCAUGAGUCUCACAAUCCACCAGUGACACUUAGCAACAUGUAGUGUCAUUCCAGUAGAAUGGAAUACUGAACCUCUUGGUGCAGUUACCGUAUAAUACAGUCUUUCUAUCAUGAGUCCUGACUAGACGGAGGUUAUGGAAUAACUCGGCAACCCCAUCGUCUGUCAUAUGUUAAAUUUAUUCGACUCGAGUUUCUAAUAUCAGAAACUCUUUUCCGCUAUUAACUCUGCCCUGGCCAAGAUCUUCUAAAUUCGGUCUCAUAAAUCAUAUAGGACUAACACCCCUAUCUAUCAAGAGAGAUAGAUUUCAUCUAAGUGCACGCCAUAUUUCUACAAUGAACCUACUGCACCCAACAUACACCGCAAGGAUCCGAAUGGCUAGGGAUCAAGUGUAUGUACAGUCAAACUACAGUAACCUCAUUGUGAAUAGCGGAGACAUCGCAGGUCAAAGGACCAGUCACACUACUGUAACAUUGAGUAAGUCACUAACGAGUGAGCAGACAUUUAAGUGACUUCUCGCGUUGGUCACGCUCGGUAUCCUUAUUCUCUAAUAACCACCUGCAUAUUCGCUUCAGUGUCCCUACACUGUCGACUCGAGACUCGUCUACCCAAAGAGGGAAGCGACCUAUGCACCAAUCUAAUCAGAUCAAUCACCGUCCCGGUGAUAGAUCCAUUGAUCGGGAGCAUUUAGGAAUUAACCACCAAUAAUACAUGUCUCAAAUUCUCAACUCUUGAGAAUAUAUGUCAUCAUCUUAUUAAUUGUUUGGACGAUUCAUGAACACAUACACAAUAUGAAUAAAAAUAAGAACCCAAAUUUAUUUAUAAUAUUUUAAAAUCAAAUAAAAAUUUAUAUUCUAAAAAAAAUAUAUAUGUCAGUCUGAUUCACUUCUACAGCAUACAUCUAACAUCACUAUAUAUACAAAAAAAAAAGAAAAAAAAAAAGAGGAGGAAUCACUACAACAGAAUUAGGUUAUAGGGACACAUGUUUGGGACACUUUUGAGUAAAUGUCCCAUUUAUUCUAAAACUUAAAAAAACAUCUACUAAUGCCUAAAUAUAAAGCCCAAUCCAACCAAAAAUAAAAGAUUACUCUACUCAACCCACCACACCCAAUCCAUUUGGCCUGAUUACGAACAGAAUAGAAAAAAAAAAGAAAAAUCAAUUACCAUCUUUUCUUCUCUCUUCACUCAAUCCACUGAAAUUCUAGACGAAAAGCCUUUCCUGUCGUCCUCCUCCGCCAUCGCAGCCAACGAGAUAGAGUUUCGGAGGUUGCUAAAUGCUUAAAUAAGUGUUGGUAAAUUAGCAGCACUCUUUUAGGUUAUAGCGACACUCUUUAACUGUCACUAUAUACCUAGCGACCCCACAUAUAGCAACACUUUUUAAAAGUGUCGGUAAUUUAAGGCUAGCAGCACUUUUCUGACAUAUACUAUAUUUAGAAAGUGUCGCUAUAGACCGUUUUUGUUGUACGUGAAUGAGACCAUUAAUUAGUUUCUACUGCGCAUGCACGCGGCAACUGGAAAAAGUGCUUCGCGGAAAAUAUUGCUUUUGUUGCGCUGUGCAUGAAAUGACGAGCAACUUUGAAACUACAGGGAAAGAGAGAGUUGCUGUCACAAAAGGCGUGGAGUUUGGGUGCGGGUCCGAGUCACGAAUCCAUACUAAAAUGUUGGGUGUGGAAUUUAGACUCGUACGUAGGUUUCAACUGAAGACUGCGUAUCCUUCGGUUCAAAACAGGUACGUAAAUUAUUCCGAGGAUCUAAAUUUCGAACCUUCUAUAUAUAUAAUAUAUAUAUAAUAAAUUAUAGAUAUAUAUAUUCAGAUAUCAUGUUAAAUAAUAUGAAAUAGUUGUUAAUCUUCAGAAGGUUAAACUAACGUAGAAUAGUAAUCUUUAAUAUUAAUAUUACAGUAUAUAUGAUGAAUUUCAUUUGGAGAAAAAGAAAAAUAAAGUUGAGGAGGACAUUUGAAAAUUGAGUAUAGGUGGUGGGGUCUCCAUACAUUUUUACUUUUAAAAAUGAUCAACUCUCAUGUAUAGUGGAGAGCCACUAUAAGAUUUGUAUACCUAAAUUAGGUUCUAGGCUUUUGGUGUGCUCUGAGGAGGUUAGCAAAUUAAAUGAGAAGUGCUUUUAACAAUGUAAUUAAAGUGAGUUUUGUAACUUUUUUUCUUUUGGUUUUUCGGGUCAUUAGGAACUAGCUAGCUUUAAAAAGAUUAAUUUGAUGCCACGAAUACAAUUGAAAUGGCGCAAAUUCUCUACGGACUAGCAUACAGAAAGUUACUACGCACAAAGCUUACUACACGCAAACGAAUAUGGUCGCCAAUGUGGGUUUUUGAUGAGUGGAAUUAAUGAGUCUUCUCAUCCGCUUAAUCUGACUUUGUAAGUUGAGCAUCGACUAGAUCACAAUAAUACGCCUCAAAAGGCUCUCUCUUUUCAGAUGAACGUGAACCGAUCUGCGCAUAUAGAUAAACUUUAGCUGGUUCUCACGACGUGUUUUUGUUGGGCUGAUGUGAAAAUCUUUUGCAAAUAAAUUACGUUCUUUUCCUUUUUUAGGAUGCACACUAGAUUAGGUUUGUCUCCUUAAAAGAAAUGAAAAUUUUAUUCUAGUGCUAAUGAUGAUGAUGAUGAUGCUAUACUGUGCGUUCUACGUAGGCAUGUCGCACAAUAUUACUUUGUGGGUUUAAUAUAUUACUCAAUCCAAUAUCAAAAGUUAUUAAAUUAAUUAGCUUUAUAUACCUAGAUGUCUAGGACAUGUGUGUGGCUUGAGCCUGUUUAAUUUUGGACUCUUUACUCGCACCAAUAGAAAACAUUAAACUUUUUAAUUUUUUUAUACACCUAUAAGCUUGUACAACUUCUAGGCACUUAAUUUUUUCUUUUUUUAAAGUUAAACAUUUGUUUUCGCCUUUUAAGUUGACAAUAUUCUGAAAACUAAGCCAAAUUAUAUGUCGAUGGUCAUUUGGUGUAGCUUUUAAAGUACUUUUUUUUACCCUAAAAACAAAAAACUUUCUACAUGUGAAAUUCAAACUAACUUUAUUAGAGAAAAGUUAGGAAAUUAUAGUUGAUUAAAAAUCUUUUAUGUUUAAUUACAUAUCUCUCCAGUAAACAACUCUAGCAAUCAGUUCCGAUCACUAAGAAUAUCGUGCUGUGCCAAACAUGUCCUACUUCACAGAUCUCUUGCAUGACUAUAUGCAACUUUUGAAAACCAGAAACAGGUUUGGAUUCACACCAACUUGUUGAAAUUAGUGAUGAAAAGCUAGCAAACAUAUGCAAGGAAAUCGAAGGUGAAAAUCGAUCGAAUAUGUAGCAGAAAAAAAGAAAAAACAAGGAGUUAGGAAUUUCAUAAAAAGUACUUGCAGCCUCCUUGAUUCCUGAUAAAAUGUGAAAGGCAAACAUGUGCAAGAAAAUUGUAAUCAAGCUGUCAAUGGGCUUCGUACUUUUGGUAGAACAAUAUUAAUAAUCUCUUUUGGGGUUGGAAUUAAGCUAAAUUGCAAUUUUGGCCCUCAAACUAUGAACGUACGUUGCAUUUUGAUUCUCAAAAUUUUAAUUUAUUAUAAGAAAAAACUUCAAAUAUCCCCCGUGGUUUCGCACUUUCGCACUUUAUUACCCCGUGAUUUAAAGUGUAUCAAGUUAGUAUCAUGUGGUUUCGCAUUUUCUCACUUUAGUACCCUGUGGUUUAAUAUUUCUUGCGUGGGUCAAAUUCCAGACCUUCUAAUCUGCUUCUAGAAAUACCAAUCAUCUACGCAAACAAACCUAUAAACCCCACUCCAAAAAAUCUUUUCUACACUUGUCGUUUAUUUCACUACUCCAAAGGCUAAAAGACAGCACACAAGGGGUCCGAAUUCCGGACCUUCUAAUCUGCUAUUUCGGACCUUCGAAUCCUAGUUGAUUCACAUUUUUAGCUAGUUUAUUUCUAAAUGAAAUAAAAUGAAGCGGGUAGCAUACUAGCUAUCUCUCAAAAAACAAAAAAAAUCAAAUAUCUAGGCAAGUCAGUGGUGCUAAUUAACAUGCCCGUCACUUGUCAUUCUUUGCGGCCAACUCCUUUUUGGCUUACCUGCCACCACCACCACUUCCAUCAUUGCGUGGGUCGAAUUCCAGACCUUCUAAGAUGCUUCUGGAUAUACCAAUCAUCUACGCAAACAAACCUAUAAACCCCACUCCAAAAAAUCUUUUCUACACUUGUCACUUAUUUCACUACUCCAAAGGCCGAAAGCCGGCACGCAUGCAAGGGGUCUGAAUUCCGAACCUUCUAAUCCACUGUUCAGCAAUAUCAAAUAUCUGGACAAGUCAGUGGUGAUAAUUAACAUGGCCGUCACUUUUCACUCUUCGGUUCUGCACCCAACUCCUCUUUGGCUCUCUAGUCACCACCAGUACUUCCAUCAUCUCCUUCGUUAAUUUGUUUUUUUUUUUUUGAAAGAUAGGUAGCGUGCUAUCCGUUUCGUUUAUUUCAUUUAGAAAUAAAUUUAGCUACAAAUGUGAAUCAAUUAGAAUUCGAACUUAGGACUUCGAAUAUCAACUAUCAAAUUCUUUGCCAUUUGCUGUAGGGACGGUCGGUCCCUUGUUAAUUUGUUGUGAGCUGUGAAUGAUGAAUACAUAUUAUUAUAUUAUAUUAUAUAAAAUAUGUACAUAUUUAGUUCAAGUGGGAGGCUUCCUCGUGACAAAACGCAGCCAACCAAAUUACACAACUUUCAGACCUCAUCGCUGCUGUACGGAGACCAAACAAACCGCUUGAAUAAAACGUGCAUCACCCUCCCCGCUUUGUGCAAUAGUGCUUAUAUCACUUAUCCCAGUUAUCUCUCACACUUGCUUUAAAACUAGUUAUAUAUAUAUAUAUAUAUAUAUAGAGAGAGAGAUAGGUUGGAAUACUAUUGAUAGUAAAAUAUCUUUUUUGCUAUCAAGUUUUUAAUUUUCGGAUGAGAAAUUAUAGGAUUAGAAUGAUAUUAGUCUUUUAGAGUUGAGUGGUCCUCCUCUCUAGAAUUGAGUGGUCUCCAUCGGGUUAUAAUAUUUAAUCCAAUAGUUAGAAAUGAUAAAAAGUAAUUGAUCCAAAAGCUAAAAACUUAAUAGCAAAAAAGAUCUUUUACUAUCAAUAGUAUUCUAGCCCAACUAUAUAUAUAUAUUAUUAUUAUAUAUAUAUAUAUAUAUAUAUAUAUAUAAUUCUACUUGAUGACUUUAUAAUGAUUUCGAAAAUUAUCAAAUUAUUUUCUAGAAGUUUCAAAUACUUAGAUCAUGUUUAACGGUGUGGAUCAAUCAUUUGAAAACUCUCAACAUCGAAAACAAACUUAUGAGUAGUAAGGUUCUAUACUCAUAAGAGUAUAGUAACCCACCCUCUCUCUCUCUCUCUCUCUCUCUCUCUCUCUAUAUAUAUAUAUAUAUAUAUAUAUAUACAGAGUUGAGCUCGAUAGCAAACGGGCUCCGUUGCCACCCAUUUGUUUUGGAUGAUGGAGCCUCCAAAUUGACGAUCGGUAUCGUUGAAAAUGAUCUAUACCACCUGACGUAUCUAGAAAUAAAAUUUCAUGUUUUUCCGAUAUUGUUCUUAAUUUCAUUCAUCAAGUGGGCGUAAAAAUAGACGGCUGAAAAUGAAUAUCCUCUUAAAAAUGAUGAUAGGAAUUUUGUAAUUAAUCAAGAUCGAGAGUGUAGAUCUUGUUCUAAAUAGUUUAAAAAAUUUUCUAACCAAAAUUCAAUUGAUUUGGAUAGCUUUACACCGUUAAACGAGAAAACACCUCAUAUCGAUCAUUAAAAUUACAAAUUUUGAAACCCUUUGAUCAUUAGGUCAAUGAUAUCGAAAAUAUUUGAAAUUUAAUUUCUAGGUACUUCAAGUGAUAUAGAUCAUGUUCAACGGUGCCGAUCGUUGAUUUGAGGGCUCCAUCAUCGAAAACAAAUGGGUGACAACAGAGCCCGUUUGCUACUGAUAGCAUUUCAGCUCAACUCUCUCUCUCUCUCUCUCUCUCUCUCUAUAUAUAUAUAUAUAUAUAUAUAUAUAUAUAUAUAUACUAUCAUAUCAAUACUCCGUAAAAAUUUAAUAAUUAUACAAAAGAUUUAUAUUAAUUAUGUUUUGUGCGAUCUCAGUAAAUUUGCAUAUUUAUUACUACUGUCUGCAUAAACUAAUCAAUAAUCUUAUGAGUACAAUAUUUUGAGAUCAGGUAUGUACAAUUGUAUGCAUUGAGAGAAACUUAUGCUUUGAGUUGACCAAGAGAACUUUUGAUAAAUCGCUAAUGUGCUGAUAAGCCAGUAUAACACGUGGGACAAGCGUGCAUGAAUCAAGCUCAAAAUUUUUUAUAUGAUUUAUGCCCACACAUUAAUAGUCUAAUCCUACAAUCAUACCAAAAAUACCUAAUUCAUUAGCCUCAUUUGAGAAUAUAUAUCUUCUAGAAUAGUAGAAGCACUUAGGGGCUGUUUGGUUGUGCGCAUUUGCAACUGCAGUACAGUUGCAAAUGCAUGCAGCCACAAUUCCUUUGUUUGGUUUAGUGUAGUUGAGUUCAAUUGCUGCAGUUCCAACUGCACAAGAAGGCCCAAAUACUGCAGUUGGAACUACAUCCAAAUUGGUCGUAGUUCCAACUGCAGCAGUUGGUGAGGGAUAGAAUCACCCACAAAUUAAUAAUAAUAAAUAAAUAAAUAAAUAAAUAAAUAAAUAGCUAAAUAAAUAAAUAAUAUAUGUAUAUAGGUAAAUAAAAAUACUUAUAAAUAAACUCAUACUAAUAAAAUUUUUUAGACAAUACAAGCUUUGUGCAAAAAAUUAAUUUUUUUAAAUUUAUUUUAUUUAAAAUAUAAAUAUAGUUUUUUUUUCUAAAUUUUUAUAGAAUGUGAUCGUGUAUGUUAAUUUAAUAAGUUUUAAUUAAUUAUAAUUAUUAAAUUUGAUUAAAAAAAAAGAAGAGAGAAUCGUUUAAAUUUUUAAAGUUUGAUUUACAUAUUAAAAUUAAAUAAAUUAAAAAUUUUAAAUGUGUCGAUUAAUAAGUUGAAGAAUUAUUGAAAAAUAUAAAAAUAUUAUAUAUAUCUACUUAUUUAUUUAUAAAUAGUAAAUUUAAAUAAUUAAUAAAUUUAUACAAUUAUUUUAUGUUUAGUGAAGGUAACCUCACCACUCUAUCUGAAGAGGUGACAAAAUUCAUAAAUACAACUAUCAGCUUCAUAUUACCAAACAGAAGAAAUGUAACUGCAGUAGUUGCAACUGCGUAAAACCAAACAGACUAGGUGUAGUUAUAACUGCAGUAUUUGCAACUGCAUGUAUUUCCAACUACACUGUUUCUGCAACUACAUCUAACCAAACGGCCCCUUAAUUUCCUUCUUUUUUUUUCGAGCAAUAGAUUGUGACACCUAGCUCGGAGGUUAAUGUAUCAAUCUCUUAAUAUUUUUGAUGAGAUAAAGUUAAAAGCUCAGCACUUAGCAAUUAGUUUAAUAAUUUAACAACAUUCGACCAAAACAUCUAUUUCGCACUACUACUUAAUUAGGAUAUAAAUAUUUUUUUGGUUAUUGAUCAUUCUUAGAACAAUUAGUUAAAUACUUGAUGAUUAGUAUACAAACUUUUAAAUUUGAAUUCUUAUUAUUUUACAUCCUUGCGAGGUAUCUGAAGUUUUUUUUUAAAAAAAAAACAAAAAAACUUAGGAGCUCGUGCUCUACUUCGGCGCGUUGGAUGGUGGACCAACGACAUCCGUUGAUUUCUCAUUUGACGGCGAUAGCGCGAAUCACGGGCAUCACCGUCCAACCGGUUGAUCUGACGGUCAACGUUGGUCCUUUGCUUUGAUAUACUAUGCAUUGAUGGGCAACGUGGACUCGAGAGGACCCUCGCAUAUACGAUGGCUUAUCCACCUAAUGAUGUGACCAAAACUAAGUUAUCAAUUCCAAUAUGAUGGUUUAUCUAUAAAAAAAAAACUUUUAUUAAAAAAUAUGCAUAAUCGAACCUAUUUAGGAAUAUUCUCAUGGUAGAGAUAGAAUUUGCUACGGGUCAGGUCGGGUCGGGUCGGGUCAGAUUCAACUAAAUAUACUGAUCCAUUAAAACCAACCUAACUCAACUCAUGAUUGAUCAGAUAAUUUGUCCAACUAACCUAUCAAUCUGAUUCGAUCCAAUUCAAUCCACAAAUCUUACUCAACCAAACCUGUCGAUCAGCCAACUCUACCCAACCCAACUGAUGAUCAAACCUUCAACCGUGUUAAAUAAAGCAUUACUAUUUGUACACCUAUUUUAUAAGUGUAAAAUUUAUAUCCUGACAUUUGAAAGAUUGUGAUGUACUCAUUUGACACAUCACAUUUUUUGUAAUGCUGAAAAAUUUUAAAAAGUUUAUAAGCUUUUGGAUGCAAUGGGUGUAAGAUAUACACUCCCAUAUGGGUUGUAAAAAUAAAUAUUUUCUAUUGAAUAAUAUGACAUAAUUGUUAAAAAAUAAUAUUUACAAAAAUAAUAAUAAUAUUCUAUUGUUAAUUGACCCAUCUCUAUUAGAUUACAUGACAAAAAGAGAGUAAGAACACACAUAUUAUGAGCAAUUAGUGUGUUUUAUUACAUAAAAAUAAACUAAUACGCCUUAUUAAAGAUAAAAAAGGCAUAUACAUAGAUAUAUUCCAUACGCCCUAUGUUUAUGUAGGAUUAUAUGUCUUGGUGCAUGUAAUCGAAAAAAUACACUGUUUUCCUUUUGCAAACUUUUAUUUUAAUGUAAUCAAAAAAUCGCAUAAUUUAUUUUCUAGGUACUUCAAAUACUCUAGAUCAAGUUUAACGGAGCCGAUCGACGAUUCGAAAGUCGCAACAUCGAAAACGAGCUGGAAGCACGAAAGGCUCCGUGCUUCCGAUAGCAUAGUAGCCUUACUCUCUGCUCUCUCUCUCUUUCAUAUAUAUAUAUAUUUAUUAUAUAUAUUAUAUAUAUAUAUAGUCCGGCUGGGUACUACUCAUAGACCAUGCAUUUUGGUGCUAUCUAAGCUUAUUCUAAAUCUCGACGAUCGCUCGGGUGCAGACUUCUUACACUGGAUUUGGUAAGUAUUUGAAACUGAAUAUUAUAAUUUCGACAUCAUGAUAGGCUAGUUGAUCAGAGGGAGAGUGGGGGGGUCUCAAAGUGAUAAUUUUGUAAGUUUAGUAGAUGUGAUGAUUGUUGGUAACGCCUGGUGUAAAACAAUCCAAUAAGAUGAAAAUUUUUAUAGGAAAUAUUUUUUACUAUUUAGAGUAAGAUCAGUACCUAUGAUCUUAAAUUCAAUUAUUUUAUGAGACUUUAUAUUUUUAGUCGUUCAUUUUUAGACUACUGUUUGAUAGGUAAAUGAUACCAAUACAAAUUAUGAAUUUUAGUUUCCAAAUACUCUUCAUAGUGUAGAUCAAGUCUACGGCCGAUGUCGAUUUGAUAAGCUGGUGUGGUGUUGGCUGGGUAUGCCAUAGUGUAGAAUUGGGGUGGUAGCACGGAGGUGGUGUGUUGGUGCACGAUAGUAUACCAGCCGUGCUUGUAUAUAUAUAUAUAUAGAGGAGAGAAGAGAGAGAGAGCAGGGCUACAUUGCUAUUUGGAGUACAGCAACCCUUGUGCUCCUAACUUUCUAACCACCCAUCAAUGUUUUGAUUGGGUGCUGUUAGAAUGAUAGAGAAGAGAUAUUGGGAGAAAUUCAGAAGACGAAAUUGAGACACCCAAUUCUUCCCAAUAUCUCUUUCCUCUCUUAUUUCUAAACCAUCCAUCAAUCUUGAUGAGUGUUAGAAAGGUUAGGAGCACAAGGACUGUCCGUUGCUCCUUAAUAGCCACAUAGCCCGUUCUAUAUACUAUAUAUAUAUAUAUAUAUAAUAUAUAUAUUAUAGGGCUACUUAGUACUUAUAGUACUGAAUUUUUGUUACUAUUAGUCUCGUGUUUCAAUCUUAAGGUAUUCAAAUGAACGAUUCACACAGUUAAAUAUGAAGUUUUCAAUUUUUUCGAUAUUAUUUACUUUAUAAAUAAAUUGUGUCCAAAUGAAUGGUAAAACUUGAACAAUCUUUAAAAUUUGAAGAUAGAACUUUUGAAUUUCAAGAUCAAGAAUGUUGAUUUUGAUCUAGAUAGUUUAAAAUAUUUUUUAUCAAAAUUUGAAUAAACUUAAAUUUUACUACACCAUUAAACUACAAACUCGUUAUAGUAGUCAUUAAAAAUUAACAAUUUUAAAAUGAUUUGAUCAUAAAAUAAACUAUGUUGAAAAAAUAUAAAGGCAUAUUCAUAAAAACUUUAAAUAUCCUACAUCAGUUUUAACGAUGUGGAUUAUUGAUUUGAACACCCUAAAAUCGUUGAUUUGAACACUUAAUCCUAGAGAACCACUAUCAUCCUAAUAAUCGUACAAAUUUUCAUCCAAAGACCGAAAAACUAAUGACUUGAUACUUUUAAAAAAUAUAAACUAAUGACUUGAUACUUUUAAAAAAUAUAGGAACUCAAUUCCAUAUAUAUAGAGAGAGAGAGAGAGAGUCCAGCUAUGGUGUUUAUAAAAGCACCAAGCACUUGGUGCUUGUAAGUUUUUUACCAUUAGAUUUACUCAACGGAUCAUUUUCAACCAUUAGAUUAUACUAUUCAACCAACCACACACUCAACCCUAGGGAGCCCACAUCAUCCUAACCGCAUAUCUCUUAAUCCAAUGGCUAAAAUUUUACAAGCACCAAGGUCUUGAUACUUUUAAAAGUAUAGGAGCUCAAUUCUAUUAUAGAGUCCAGCUAUGGUGCUUGUAAAAGCACCAAGCACUUGGUGCUUGUAAGUUUUUUACCAAUAGAUUUACUCCACGGAUCAUUUUCAACCAUUAGAUUAUACUAUUCAACCAACCACUCACUCAACCCUAGGGAGCCAACAUCAUCCUAACCGCAUAUCUCUUAAUCCAAUGGCUAAAAAUUUACAAGCAUCAUGCUAACCGCAUAUAGAGUCCGGCUAUGGUGCUUGUAAAUAUUUUACCGUUAGAUCUAUGUCUUUAAUCAUUUUCACCCGUUAGAUUAUACUAUUCAACCAACCACCAACUCAACUCUAGGGGGCCCACAUCGUCCUAACCGCACAUUCCUUAAUCCAAUGGCCGAAAACUUACAAGCACCAAUGACUUGGUACUUUUAAAAGUAUAAGAGCUCAAUUCUCUCUCUCUCUCUCUCUCUCUCUCUCUCUCUCUCUCUCUCUAUAUAUAUAUAUAUAUAUAUAUUAUAUAUAUAUGAUUGAGCUUAGUAAUACUCUCGAUAGUAAACGGGCAUUUUACUAUCGAGUUGUUUUCGGAUGAUAGAGCUUCCAAAUUGACGAUCGGCUCAGUUGAAACAUGAUCUAUACCACUUAAAGUGUUUAGAAAUCAAAUUUUAAAUCUUUUCGACAUCAUUUGCCUAAUGAUCAAAAGGUUUCAAAAUUUAUAAUUUUAAUGGUGGAUUAAGAAACGUUUUCUCGUUUUACGGUGUAAAGAUAUUCAAAUCAAUUAAAUUUUUUGUUAGAAAAUUCUUUAAACUAUUUAAAACAAGAUCUAUACUCUUGAUCUUGAUACAGACUCCUAUCAUCAUUUUUUAAAGAAUAUUCAUUUUCAACCAUUCAUUUUCUGUUUCACUAGAUGGAUAAAAGAACAAUAUCGAAAGUGCCGUGAAAUUUGAUUUCUAGGUAGUUUAAAUGGUUUAGAUCAUAUUUAACGGAGCCGAUCGUCAAUUUGGAAGCUUAUCAUCGAAAACAAACUCGAUAGUAAAACGCUCCGUUUACUAUCAGAGAGUAUUCUAGCUCAACUCUAUAUAUAUUAUAUAUAUAGAAUUAUGCUACUAUACUAUCAAUAGUACCAAGCCCAUGGUACUAUUGAGUUUUCGGCCGUUGGAUGAAAGGAUGUACGCGUUAGGAUGAUAGUGGUCCUGGUUAAAUUGAUAGUGGUCCCCUAGGGUUGAGUUGAGUGGUGUUAUAGUAGUAAUCUAACGAGUGGAAAUGAUCAAAUGGUUGAUCUAACGGUAGAAAACUCAAUAGUACCAAGGAUUGGUACUAUCAAUAGUAUAGUAGCUGGACUCUUAUAUAUAUAAUAUAUAUAUAUAUAGGGUCUGGCUCCUAUACUAUUAAUGAGACGAUCGCCCUCGUACUCAUAAGUUGUUUUUCGAUGAUAGAGCUUUCGAAUCGACGAUCCACACCGUUUAACGUUAUUUACAGCAUUUAAAACUUCUAGAAAUCAAAUUUUUAAUUUUUCGACAUCAUUUACCUUACGAUCAAGAGGUCACAAAUUUGACAAUUUUUAACGGCGGUAUGGGAUACUUGCUAGUUUAACGGUGUAAAAGAAUUGGAAUGUGUGAAGUUUUGAUAGAAAAUUCUAUUCACUAUAUAGAUAAAGAUCAAUAACUCCGAUCUUGAAUGAAUGAUCCGAUCAUCCUUUUUUAGGACGUCGUUCGAUAUUGACCGUUCAUUUAUGCCCACUUGAAUGGACUUUAUUAUAUUUCGAAAAUUUACGAACUUUAUUUCUAGACAGUUUUCAAAUACUCUAAAUCAUAUUUAACGGAGUGGAUUGUCGAUUCGAAAGCUCCAUCAUUGAAAACAACUUAUGAGUACGAGGGCUCCAAUACUCAUAAUGGUACAGUAGCCAUGUCCUAUAUAGGGUUCGGCUACUAUACUAUUAUGAGUACGAUCGCCCUCGUACUCAUACGUUGUUUUCGAUGAUAGAGCUUCCAAAUCGACGAUCCACACCGUUAAACAUUAUUUACAGCAUUUAAAACUUCUAGAAAUCAAAUUUAGUGAGGGAGCUAGUAUGCUUCUGGAAAUAUGAAGCCCUCCGUACUUCUGAAUCGUUUUCGAUGUUGGAAUUUUCGAAUCAACGAUCAGCUCCAUAAUACUUGAUUUAGAGUAUUUGAAGUACGUAGAAAAUAAAUUUAGUGAUUUUUUUGAUAUUAUUUACCUAGUGAUCGAAAGGGCUGAAAAUUACAAAUUUUAAUGACCAUGGUGAGCCAAUUUAUUUUUUUUAAAAAAAGGUAAUAUAUUGUAUCUUGUGCAGCUAGUUAAAAGCUUGAAUGUUGAUAUUUGAGACUUGAGAUUUCAAGUUCCAAUUUAGUUGUUUCACAUUUUUAAUUGACAUUUCUGGAAACAAAAAAAAGAUAGUUUAUUAGGUAAGAAUUUUUUUAAGAAAAACUUUUUUUUGUUUUUAAUCUACAGAGCUAAGAAUGGCUAUGUGACUUGAAUGGGCACUACAUAAAAGGGCACCACAUCAAGAUUAGCUAGCUUGAUAUUAACUACUGCAAUAAAAUUGGCUUAGAAAUUCAAAAUUAACACACAUCCAUUGAUAAGUUUAACAUAUUAGUCCAAUGACAAUAUCUGAGCACACACAUGCCUAAACCCAGGAAAAUAAUUGCUACAGUUCUUCAGUGGGAGCAUGCCACAUUGAGUAGGAUGCUUCUCCUUAUUCUACAAACUCUUCCUCUUAUCUCUCUCUCUCCCUUUUCAUGUAUAAACUAAAUAAAAUGAAUUGGAGAACCUCUUUGAGAUUCAUAGCCACUGUUGAAUAAAUUGGCCUUUGAAUCUCUUUACAGAAGAGGAUCCAACAAUUAAUUAUGUACAGACGGUCCAAAACCAACCUUUCUGAAUGCACUCAGUAUUCCUGCGAAACUCUUGGUGCAGAAGAAUCUAAAUCUUUCAUAUCUGAGCUUGAUGAUCUUAGAUGUGCUAACAUCUUACUGAACUUCGGUCUCUUCUGCGUGAUCGCGAUCGAGAUGUCAUUCGGGAACAGGUUGCCAAGUACGAAUGCAUGGAUGAUCGUCGUCACGAGCAGUGCUGUCACGAUGAAGGUGGAGAAGGCGGAGAGCCCGAUAGAGAGGGCGUGCGUAAACACAUUCGCAACUUCCUCGGAGUAUCUUAUUGUCGCGACUGCGGCACCGGUCAUCGGAAAUGUGUAUGCCCACCAAGCAAGUG